CGAGUGCUUAGCUGCAUGGACUGACACGUCUGAAGAAUGUUCUGGAACUCUGAGAUCUCCACCUGCUCAGAGAAAAUGUCACGAAAUUCACAUAAGUGUGUUCUCAGAAAACCAGCUUUCAGAAGGACGCUUUAGGUCCCACCCCAAAACACCAGGCUCCUGAGACUUCCCAUUUAGCGCUCCACCAGGAAACAAGUCAUGUCAACAUCGGAUGGUUUUUUCAUGAAGCCCUAAGCAACGCCCCCAGUGCUUGACAGACAUGUAGCUUGGUCUUUG